UAAGGGAGCUACCAUUUGAUUUUUAUGGGGGGGCUAGGAUGAAAUUUGAAAAAAAUAGGCAGGACAGGAGUUUUGAGUAAAAAAAAAGGCAGGAUGAGACACUUUGCAAAAAAAAAAAAAGGCAGGAUGGCAAUUAAGGUAAAAAAAGUCAGGAUAAACUAAUAAAAAAAAGGCAGGACUGAAUAGAGUGAAAAAUAAAAAGGCAGGACAGAGAUUACAACUAAAAAAAAAAUGCAGGACAAAAUUUUUCAUCCUAGCCCCCCCAUAAAAAUCAAAUGGUAGCUCCCUAAG
rnacentral:lncRNA from 1 species